CUACACCUUUGCAUACAAACUUUCGGAAAAAACAAAUUUGACAUUUCGAGUCCAACAUAAAUACAGGCUCUAUCACAACUAAAUUGCCGCGAGUAGCUAGUUUCAUACUUUUCAGUUUGUUCCGUAUCUUUUCACUUUCUUCGACUGUUGUUGCUGAGACAUGGGCAGCAUUGACAAAGCCUGCAUAUCGGGUUUUCUAUGCCGUCUAUGUUCUGAAAUGCAUCGUACAGUAAUUCACAUCUAUGGCGACCAAGGACAGAGACACGGAUUACUGGAAAAGAUCAACGGAUACCUACCGGUAACUAUCACACCAACUGACCCCCUGCCAAAGACAAUUUGUGAGUCUUGUUUGCGACGUGUGGAGCAGCAUUACGAAUUGCUGAUACGAAUUAAAAAGUGUAGAGAACUAAAGGAACGGACACAGCGCGCUUCGGAAAGAACUGCCACUAUUGAGCGGGCACCGCAGGGGCUCGAGGCCUCGGAUGACGACGAUGAACUUAUCGAAAACAAUUGAUUAGCGGCUGACCGAGGCGAAUGAGAUUAAGAGGCGGAAAGGGUUUGUUCGUGUCCUUACCCUGCGUUUUUAUGUAAUAGUGGCACAGUACCUUGCCGAGUGUGUUACAAUUGUUGUGGGAUCGCAGCUCCUCUUACUUAAAUCAAAUUAACCUGCUUUCAAAAAUACCGGGAGACUAUCCCAAGAGGGACGACUAGGAGUUCAUUAUAGCUACAUUGCUAAAAAUCUUUAUAA